GGGNCCCGCNCAAGCGGUGGAUAUGUGGGAUUAUUCGAUGCACCGCGAAAACCUUACCUGGCCUUGACAUGUANGAACUUUCCAGAGAUGGAUUGUGCUCGAAAGAGAACGUUAACACAGGUGCUGCAUGGCUGUCGUCAGCUCGUGUCGUGAGAUGUUGGGUUAAGUCCCGCAACGAGCGCAACCCUUGCCAUUAAUUGCCAUCAUUUAGUUGGGCACUUUAAUGGGACUGCCGGUGACAAACCGGAGGAAGGUGGGGAUGACGUCAAGUCCUCAUGGCCCUUAUGGCCAGGGCUUCACACGUAAUACAAUGGUCGGUACAGAGGGUCGCCAACCCGCGAGGGGGAGCCAAUCCCAGAAAGCCGAUCGUAGUCCGGAUUGUAGUCUGCAACUCGACUACAUGAAGUCGGAAUCGCUAGUAAUCGCGGAUCAGCAUGUCGCGGUGAAUACGUUCCCGGGCCUUGUACACACCGCCCGUCACACCAUGGGAGUGGGUUUUACCAGAAGUAGGUAGUCUAACCUUCGGGAGGACGCUUACCACGGUAGUAUUCAUGACUGGGGUGAAGUCGUAACAAGGUAA
rnacentral:rRNA from 1 species